rnacentral:rRNA from 1 species
GGCUCAGAUUGAACGCUGGCGGAAUGCUUUACACAUGCAAGUCGAACGGCAGCACGGGAGCUUGCUCCUGGUGGCGAGUGGCGAACGGGUGAGUAAUAUAUCGGAACGUAUCCAAUAAUGGGGGAUAACUAGUCGAAAGAUUAGCUAAUACCGCAUACGCCCUGAGGGGGAAAGCUGGGGAUCUUCGGACCUAGCGUUAAUGGAGCGGCCGAUAUCUGAUUAGCUAGUAGGUGAGGUAAGAGCUCACCUAGGCGACGAUCAGUAGCUGGUCUGAGAGGACGACCAGCCACACUGGAACUGAGACACGGUCCAGACUCCUACGGGAGGCAGCAGUGGGGAAUUUUGGACAAUGGGCGCAAGCCUGAUCCAGCCAUUCCGCGUGAGUGAAGAAGGCCUUCGGGUUGUAAAGCUCUUUCGCAAGGGAAGAAAACUUAAGCUCUAACAUAGCUUGAGGCUGACGGUACCUUGAUAAGAAGCACCGGCUAACUACGUGCCAGCAGCCGCGGUAAUACGUAGGGUGCGAGCGUUAAUCGGAAUUACUGGGCGUAAAGCGUGCGCAGGCGGCCUGAUAAGUCAGAUGUGAAAUCCCCGAGCUCAACUUGGGAACUGCGUUUGAAACUAUCAAGCUAGAAUAUGUCAGAGGGGGGUAGAAUUCCACGUGUAGCAGUGAAAUGCGUAGAGAUGUGGAGGAAUACCAAUGGCGAAGGCAGCCCCCUGGGAUAAUAUGACGCUCAUGCACGAAAG